UACGUAGGGUGCAAGCGUUGUCCGGAAUUAUUGGGCGUAAAGAGCUCGUAGGCGGCUUGUUGCGUCGGCUGUGAAAACCCGCGGCUCAACCGUGGGCUUGCAGCCGAUACGGGCAGGCUAGAGUUCGGUAGGGGAGACUGGAAUUCCUGGUGUAGCGGUGAAAUGCGCAGAUAUCAGGAGGAACACCGGUGGCGAAGGCGGGGCUCUGGGCCGAUACUGACGCUGAGGAGCGAAAGCGUGGGGAGCGAACAGG
rnacentral:rRNA from 1 species